rnacentral:rRNA from 1 species
AGUGAACGCUGGCGGUAGGCCUAACACAUGCAAGUCGAACGGCAGCACAGUAAGAGCUUGCUCUUACGGGUGGCGAGUGGCGGACGGGUGAGGUAUACAUCGGAAUCUACUUUUUCGUGGGGGAUAACGUAGGGAAACUUACGCUAAUACCGCAUACGACCUACGGGUGAAAGCAGGGGAUCUUCGGACCUUGCGCGAUUGAAUGAGCCGAUGUCGGAUUAGCUAGUUGGCGGGGUAAAGGCCCACCAAGGCGACGCUCCGUAGCUGGUCUGAGAGGAUGAUCAGCCACACUGGAACUGAGCCACGGCCCAGACUCCUACGGGAGGCAGCAGUGGGGAAUAUUGGACAAUGGGCGCAAGCCUGAUCCAGCCAUACCGCGUGGGUGAAGAAGGCCUUCGGGUUGUAAAGCCCUUUUGUUGGGAAAGAAAAGCAGCAGGUUAAUACCCCGCUGUUCUGACGGUACCCAAAGAAUAAGCACCGGCUAACUUCGUG